rnacentral:rRNA from 1 species
UAAUACAGAGGUGGCAAGCGUUGUUCGGAAUUACUGGGCGUAAAGGGCGCGUAGGCGGCCUUCUAAGUCAGACGUGAAAUCCCCCGGCUUAACCUGGGAACUGCGUCUGAUACUGGGAGGCUUGAGUAUGGGAGAGGGAUGUAGAAUUCCAGGUGUAGCGGUGAAAUGCGUAGAUAUCUGGAGGAAUACCGGUGGCGAAGGCGGCAUCCUGGACCAUAACUGACGCUGAGGCGCGAAAGCUAGGGGAGCAAACGGGAUUAGAUACCCCGGUAGU